GGAAAGGAUCAUAGAAUUCAACUAUACGCAAAACCAUAUAAUUAUAUAGAUAAGAACUAUGUGGUAAGUCCCAAGAAUAUUAGAUUUAUUACGCUGUAUUUUAUAUAAAGGUGCAAUUUACAAAGGGUUAAUAUAUGCUUAAUAGAUAUUUUAUGGACCUGAUAAAUGAGCAAUGUAUAUAUCAGAAAUUGUUAUAUCAGUUGAAGAUGCUAGAGAUAAUUAUUAGCAACUAGUGCCCUUUUAGAUACUAAAGCAUUUAUUUAAAUAUCUAUUAACCUUAUAUUACCUCUUUAUAUACUUUUAUAUACAAUUAUACAUUAAAUCCUUAACGUAGAAAAGUGUGAUCACUUAUUCAUUAUUUCCCUUAAUCCAAUAAUUUUCAUAGUUAUAGCUAUCUUGAAUGUAUAAACAGAACUGCUACACACUUAAAAGUCAUUUUCUAAGAUGAAUAUGUGUUGAGUCCAGUAGACAUUGUGUGUGGCAGGUAUAAAUUUGUUAAAAUGUCAGCUCUUCAGAGAUAUAAUCUCUUUCCCUUUCUGCCCUUAUUCAUUUACAUUUAUUUAAUUUUAAAACUAUGAAAGUGCUGAAUUGACAACACUGGAAUCCAGGAUGACCAGCAACAAUUUUUGUGCUCUCCAAAUGCCCAUUUUGAGAGCAUAUUCUAACUCCUUUUCCAUUAAAUACUUGGCAUUGCUGUAAAAAGUCUCCUUAGAAGAACACCUUGCAAUACCAGCUGCUAACUGUGAUAAGACAACAAAGAAUGGUGGGUCACCCUACUGCAAGGCACUGAGCUGAGAUUUUAUAACAUGGGCUUUAUCACAAUGAACAAAAACAUUUGGAAAUGCACAGAUUAAUCAUAACUAGUUAAUGAGCUGAUUACAUAAUUAAUCAUAACUAACUGAUUUAUUCUGUUUAGUUCAGACCACCACAACCAACAUGAAGAGAUGAGAGUAAUUGAAGAGGUAGAUGUUGUACAGUAGUUAAGGCUCUAAAAAAAGGCUAAUGUUAUAAAGGCUCUAAAAAAUGGGAAAAAACAAAUGGCAAAUUAUCAACUACUUGGGCAGUCAGUGAUUAAUUUCAAUUCCAUGCUACUACUCUGCACAAUCUAAAUAUUUGCUGUCCAAAACUGCAGUAGUCCAAAAAUGGACCUUACAGUUGGAAGGGAUUAGAGACCAUUUCCCUCAACCUUACUAAAUGCCAAAAUAUCUAAUGCAUGAGGAUACCUCACCAUAGAACAUUUUUAAAAGCUUUAAAAUUUUAAUGAUUGACUUCAGAUCUCCCCAGUGCUAAACAUGGAAGGAAAGGCUGGUAUUUUCAAAGGCACCAAACUGUCUUACCAUCCUCUGAAAAUCCAAGUGAAAAUACACUAGAACUUAGCAUAAAGGAAAGCUCAGCUAUUAAACCAAAUCUUUUAAUAGAAGGUAUUCUAGUCACUUCACACCAAGAAAGAACAAGACAUAUUUUUCCUAUCUAGGCUAUACGAGGGUUGUUCAAAAAGUAUUGAGACUGAUGCUGUAGGAAACAAAAUAUUUUAUUUACAGCGGUUUGGGCUUAAUCUCCUUUGAAGUAUGCUCCUUCUGCAGCCACAGACUUUUCCCAACGUUUCUGCCACUGUUGGAAGCACCUCUGAUACGCAAUUUGUGGAAUUGUUAAAAGCUGCCCAGUCGUAUCUUUGUUGUAUGGUUUUCACAUCACAAAAUCUUUUUCAAGGUUUUCUUUAGUUGAGGGAAGAGAAAAGAGUUGCAUGGGGCCAUACCAGGUGAAUAUGGAGGCUGCGGCACUUGCGGGAUAUGGUGUUUAGCUAAAAAUUGCUUCACAAGCUGUGCUGAGGGGGCAGGAGUGUUGUCCUGGUGAAGCAUCCAAGAGUCAGACACCCACUUUUCUGGUUGUUUUUCUGGUCAUUUAAUUCCCAAAUUGCCAGUUAGAAUUGAAUGACAUGAACCUACAGAAAUUCCAACUUCUGCUAUCUCUUGGACAGUCAAUCGCCUAUCAUUUCCAACUGAACUGCAAACCACUGCUGCAUUUUCAUCAUUUUGGGAUGCUGAAGGGUGUUUGGAACACUCAUCGCUUUUGACCAACAAUCGCCCUUCUUUAAACUGAUGAUACCAUUCAAAAACUGUUGCAUGGCUCAUAGUGUCAUCACCAAAUGCUAUUUUAAGUAAUUCAAAUGUUUCACUUGCCUUUUUCCCUAUCUUCAUGAAAAAUUUAAUGCACACGCGUUGUUCUGGACAUUCUGACAUAACAGAAUGCGACGCAAGACCCAAACGAUCUUACUUCAACUGCUGGCCACAGAAACCUGGGGAAACGCCAUGAGCUGCAAACCUGUCCAGAGGAGUCCCAACAUGCCCAGACAUUAGAGCUGUGCCCA